GGUACAACUGGGUCGGGCUGUGACUUGAACCCGCUAACUGAUCCGAUUUCACUUUUUUUUGAGUGAAUUGUAGGAGGAAUUAUAUAUUUUUUCUCUUUUUAUAAAACCAAAAUAUGUAUAUAUGUACAUAUUUUAAAAUAUAAAAUAUAGAUUUUCCUAGUAAAGCAGGAAGGCCUAAGUAUUUACCGUGAUGGUGUUAUAGCAAUCAGACAGCAGUAUCUGAGUCAGAAUAAAGUUUUCAAGUUAUUUCAAAAAUUAGUUAGCUAUUUUUUCUCUCACUUGAGGCCGUUAGUUUGUUUUCUUCUCAUGUGUGUCUCUUUUGUUCCAUUAUGUAUAUAAAGCUCAGCCCUUUCAUUCAAUAAGAUGAGAUUUUCAGUUUCAAUUUCUUAUUAUGGUAUCAGAGCAAUAACCACUUCUCUGUUUCAAAUCUAAGAUUUUCUCUCAC
rnacentral:misc_RNA from 1 species